rnacentral:rRNA from 1 species
CCCGCUGAACUUAAGCAUAUCAGUAAGCGGAGGAAAAGAAACUAACAAGGAUUCCCCCAGUAACGGCGAGUGAAGCGGGAACAGCCCAUGACGAACCUUCCAGCAGCAAUGCAGGACGGCAUGUGUCGUGUAGGCGUGCGCGAGUGGGCAGCGGGCGUCGCAGGUCCCCUGGAAAGGGGCGGCACAGAGGGUGAGACCCCCGUGGCGACGGGCGCUGCGCACCACGCGCACGGCAGCGAGUCGGAUUGUUUGGGAAUGCAAUCCCAAGCAGGUGGUACGCGCCAUCUAAGGCUAAAUAGCGGCAAGAGACCGAUAGCAAACAAGUACCGUGAGGGAAAGAUGAAAAGGACUCUGAAGAGAGAGUCAAAAGUGCGUGAAAUUGCGGCGAGGGAAACGAAGGCGCGUGCGCAAAGGGGAGUGCCGGCGUCUGGAGGCGCAACAAGCGGCCUGGGAGGUGCCACGCGGCGACGCAUGGACAUACAGCCAGGCCGGCUUGCGCAACCGGGCACCCGGCACGGGCGCGCGUCUUUGACCCGUCUUGAAACACGG